AGCUACGACCGCGUGGCUCUUUGGUACACCUGAUCCCUCAAUCUCGGAAGUUAAGCAACGCACGGUCCGGUCAGUUCUGGGAUGGGGGACCAACCAAGGACGGCCGGUUUGCCGUAGCUG
rnacentral:rRNA from 1 species